rnacentral:rRNA from 1 species
AUGAACGCUGGCGGCGUGCCUAAUACAUGCAAGUCGAACGAGUUCUGAUUAUUGAAAGGUGCUUGCAUCUUGAUUUAAUUUUGAACGAGUGGCGGACGGGUGAGUAACACGUGGGUAACCUGCCCUUAAGUGGGGGAUAACAUUUGGAAACAGAUGCUAAUACCGCAUAAAUCCAAGAACCGCAUGGUUCUUGGCUGAAAGAUGGCGUAAGCUAUCGCUUUUGGAUGGACCCGCGGCGUAUUAGCUAGUUGGUGAGGUAACGGCUCACCAAGGCAAUGAUACGUAGCCGAACUGAGAGGUUGAUCGGCCACAUUGGGACUGAGACACGGCCCAAACUCCUACGGGAGGCAGCAGUAGGGAAUCUUCCACAAUGGACGCAAGGCUGAUGGAGCAACGCCGCGUGAGUGAAGAAGGCUUUAGGGUCGUAAAACUCUGUUGUUGGAGAAGAAUGGUCGGCAGAGUAACUGUUGUCGGCGUGACGGUAUCCAACCAGAAAGCCACGGCUAACUACGUGCCAGCAGCCGCGGUAAUACGUAGGGAGCAAGCGUUAUCCGGAUUUAUUGGGUGUAAAGGGUGCGUAGACGGGAAAAUAAGUUAGUUGUGAAAUCCCCCGGCUUAACCGAGGAAGUGCAUCGGAAACUGGGAAACUUGAGUGCAGAAGAGGACAGUGGAACUCCAUGUGUAGCGGUGAAAUGCGUAGAUAUAUGGAAGAACACCAGUGGCGAAGGCGGCUGUCUGGUCUGUAACUGACGCUGAGGCUCGAAAGCAUGGGUAGCGAACAGGAUUAGAUACCCUGGUAGUCCAUGCCGUAAACGAUGAAUGCUAGGUGUUGGAGGGUUUCCGCCCUUCAGUGCCGCAGCUAACGCAUUAAGCAUUCCGCCUGGGGAGUACGACCGCAAGGUUGAAACUCAAAGGAAUUGACGGGGGCCCGCACAAGCGGUGGAGCAUGUGGUUUAAUUCGAAGCAACGCGAAGAACCUUACCAGGUCUUGACAUCUUUUGAUCACCUGAGAGAUCAGGUUUCCCCUUCGGGGGCAAAAUGACAGGUGGUGCAUGGUUGUCGUCAGCUCGUGUCGUGAGAUGUUGGGUUAAGUCCCGCAACGAGCGCAACCCUUAUGACUAGUUGCCAGCAUUUAGUUGGGCACUCUAGUAAGACUGCCGGUGACAAACCGGAGGAAGGUGGGGAUGACGUCAAAUCAUCAUGCCCCUUAUGACCUGGGCUACACACGUGCUACAAUGGAUGGUACAACGAGUUGCGAGACCGCGAGGUCAAGCUAAUCUCUUAAAGCCAUUCUCAGUUCGGACUGUAGGCUGCAACUCGCCUACACGAAGUCGGAAUCGCUAGUAAUCGCGGAUCAGCACGCCGCGGUGAAUACGUUCCCGGGCCUUGUACACACCGCCCGUCACACCAUGAGAGUUUGUAACACCCGAAGCCGGUGGCGUAACCCUUUUAGGGAGCGAGCCGUCUAAGGUGGGACAAAUGAUUAGGGUG